rnacentral:rRNA from 1 species
GACGAACGCUGGCGGCGUGCUUAACACAUGCAAGUCGAACGAUGAAGCUAGAGCUUGCUCUGGUGGAUUAGUGGCGAACGGGUGAGUAACACGUGAGUAACCUGCCCCGAACUCUGGGAUAACUGCUGGAAACGGUAGCUCAUACCGGAUAUGACCAAUGAAGGCAUCUUCUGUUGGUGGAAAGAAUUUCGGUUCGGGAUGGACUCGCGGCCUAUCAGCUUGUUGGUGAGGUAACGGAUCACCAAGGGGACGACGGGUAGCCGGCCUGAGAGGGUGAUCGGCCACACUGGGACUGAGACACGGCCCAGACUCCUACGGGAGGCAGCAGUGGGGAAUAUUGCACAAUGGGCGCAAGCCUGAUGCAGCAACGCCGCGUGAGGGACGACGGCCUUCGGGUUGUAAACCUCUUUUAGUAGGGAAGAAGCGAAAGUGACGGUACCUGCAGAAAAAGCACCGGCUAACUACGUGCCAGCCGCCGCAGUAA